rnacentral:rRNA from 1 species
AUGAACGCUAGCGACAGGCUUAACACAUGCAAGUCGAGGGGCAGCACAGGUAGCAAUACCGGGUGGCGACCGGCGCACGGGUGAGUAACGCGUAUGCAACUUGCCUAUCAGAGGGGGAUAACCCGGCGAAAGUCGGACUAAUACCGCAUGAAGCAGGGAUCCCGCAUGGGAAUAUUUGCUAAAGAUUCAUCGCUGAUAGAUAGGCAUGCGUUCCAUUAGGCAGUUGGCGGGGUAACGGCCCACCAAACCGACGAUGGAUAGGGGUUCUGAGAGGAAGGUCCCCCACAUUGGUACUGAGACACGGACCAAACUCCUACGGGAGGCAGCAGUGAGGAAUAUUGGUCAAUGGCCGAGAGGCUGAACCAGCCAAGUCGCGUGAGGGAUGAAGGUUCUAUGGAUCGUAAACCUCUUUUAUAAGGGAAUAGAGUGCGGGACGUGUCCCGUUUUGUAUGUACCUUAUGAAUAAGGAUCGGCUAACUCCGUGCCAGCAGCCGCGGUAAUACGGAGGAUCCGAGCGUUAUCCGGAUUUAUUGGGUUUAAAGGGUGCGUAGGCGGCCUUUUAAGUCAGCGGUGAAAGUCUGUGGCUCAACCAUAGAAUUGCCGUUGAAACUGGGGGGCUUGAGUAUGUUUGAGGCAGGCGGAAUGCGUGGUGUAGCGGUGAAAUGCAUAGAUAUCACGCAGAACCCCGAUUGCGAAGGCAGCCUGCCAAGCCAUUACUGACGCUGAUGCACGAAAGCGUGGGGAUCAAACAGGAUUAGAUACCCUGGUAGUCCACGCAGUAAACGAUGAUCACUAGCUGUUUGCGAUACACUGUAAGCGGCACAGCGAAAGCGUUAAGUGAUCCACCUGGGGAGUACGCCGGCAACGGUGAAACUCAAAGGAAUUGACGGGGGCCCGCACAAGCGGAGGAACAUGUGGUUUAAUUCGAUGAUACGCGAGGAACCUUACCCGGGUUUGAACGCAUUCGGACCGAGGUGGAAACACCUUUUCUAGCAAUAGCCGUUUGCGAGGUGCUGCAUGGUUGUCGUCAGCUCGUGCCGUGAGGUGUCGGCUUAAGUGCCAUAACGAGCGCAACCCUUGUUGUCAGUUACUAACAGGUGAUGCUGAGGACUCUGACAAGACUGCCAUCGUAAGAUGUGAGGAAGGUGGGGAUGACGUCAAAUCAGCACGGCCCUUACAUCCGGGGCGACACACGUGUUACAAUGGCGUGGACAAAGGGAGGCCACCUGGUGACAGGGAGCGAAUCCCCAAACCACGUCUCAGUUCGGAUCGGAGUCUGCAACCCGACUCCGUGAAGCUGGAUUCGCUAGUAAUCGCGCAUCAGCCAUGGCGCGGUGAAUACGUUCCCGGGCCUUGUACACACCGCCCGUCAAGCCAUGGGAGCCGGGGGUACCUGAAGUCCGUAACCGCGAGGAUCGGCCUAGGGUAAAACUGGUGACUGGGGCU